rnacentral:rRNA from 1 species
GAUGAACGCUGGCGGCGUGCCUAAUACAUGCAAGUCGAGCGAACAGACGAGGAGCUUGCUCCUCUGACGUUAGCGGCGGACGGGUGAGUAACACGUGGAUAACCUACCUAUAAGACUGGGAUAACUUCGGGAAACCGGAGCUAAUACCGGAUAAUAUAUUGAACCGCAUGGUUCAAUAGUGAAAGACGGUUUUGCUGUCACUUAUAGAUGGAUCCGCGCCGCAUUAGCUAGUUGGUAAGGUAACGGCUUACCGAGGCAGCGAUGCGUAGCCGACCUGAGAGGGUGAUCGGCCACACUGGAACUGAGACACGGUCCAGACUCCUACGGGAGGCAGCAGUAGGGAAUCUUCCGCAAUGGGCGAAAGCUUGACGGAGCAACGCCGCGUGAGUGAUGAAGGUCCUCGGAUCGUAAAACUCUGUUAUUAGGGAAGAACAAAUGUGUAAGUAACUAUGCACGUCUUGACGGUACCUAAUCAGAAAGCCACGGCUAACUACGUG